UCCAGACUCCUACGGGAGGCAGCAGUGGGGGAUAUUGCACAAUGGGGGGAACCCUGAUGCAGCGACGCCGCGUGGGUGAAGGAGCGUUUCGGCGCGUAAAGCCCUAUCGGCAGGGAAGAAGGAGGACGGUACCUGACUAAGAAGCCCCGGCUAACUACGUGCCAGCAGCCGCGGUAAUACGUAGGGGGCAAGCGUUAUCCGGAUUUACUGGGUGUAAAGGGGGCGCAGACGGCAGCGCAAGCCAGGAGUGAAAGCCCGGGGCCCAACCCCGGGACUGCUCUUGGAACUGCGCGGCUGGAGUGCAGGAGGGGCAGGCGGAAUUCCUGGUGUAGCGGUGAAAUGCGUAGAUAUCAGGAGGAACACCGGUGGCGAAGGCGGCCUGCUGGACUGCGACUGACGUUGAGGCCCGAAAGCGUGGGGAGCAAACAGGAUUAGAUACCCUGGUACGC
rnacentral:rRNA from 1 species